UACGUAGGUGGCAAGCGUUGUCCGGAAUUAUUGGGCGUAAAGCGCGCGCAGGCGGCCCUUUAAGUCUGAUGUGAAGGCCCACGGCUCAACCGUGGAGGGUCAUUGGAAACUGGGGGACUUGAGUGCAGGAGAGAAGAGUGGAAUUCCACGUGUAGCGGUGAAAUGCGUAGAGAUGUGGAGGAACACCAGUGGCGAAGGCGACUCUUUGGCCUGUAACUGACGCUGAGGCGCGAAAGCGUGGGGAGCAAACAGG
rnacentral:rRNA from 1 species